GACGAACGCUGGCGGCGUGCCUAACACAUGCAAGUCGAGCGGUAAGGCCCUUUCGGGGGUACACGAGCGGCGAACGGGUGAGUAACACGUGGGUGACCUGCCCUCAGCUCUGGGAUAAGCCUGGGAAACCGGGUCUAAUACUGGAUAUGACUCCAUGACGCAUGUUGUGGGGUGGAAAGCCUUGUGCGGCUGAGGAUGGGCCCGCGGCCUAUCAGCUUGUUGGUGGGGUGANGGCCUACCAAGGCGACGACGGGUAGCCGGCCUGAGAGGGCGACCGGCCACACUGGGACUGAGACACGGCCCAGACUCCUACGGGAGGCAGCAGUGGGGAAUCUUGCGCAAUGGGCGAAAGCCUGACGCAGCGACGCCGCGUGAGGGAUGAC
rnacentral:rRNA from 1 species